CAACCCUUGUCCUUAGUUACCAGCACCUCGGGUGGGCACUCUAAGGAGACUGCCGGUGACAAACCGGAGGAAGGUGGGGAUGACGUCAAGUCAUCAUGGCCCUUACGGCCAGGGCUACACACGUGCUACAAUGGUCGGUACAAAGGGUUGCCAAGCCGCGAGGUGGAGCUAAUCCCAUAAAACCGAUCGUAGUCCGGAUCGCAGUCUGCAACUCGACUGCGUGAAGUCGGAAUCGCUAGUAAUCGUGAAUCAGAAUGUCACGGUGAAUACGUUCCCGGGCCUUGUACACACCGCCCGUCACACCAUGGGAGUGGGUUGCUCCAGAAGUAGCUAGUCUAACCGCAAGGGGGACGGUUACCACGGAGUGAUUCAUGACUGGGGUGAAGUCGUAACAAGGUAACCAAGGGCGAAUUCGCGGCC
rnacentral:rRNA from 1 species